ACUGAUCUGAGAGGAGAGGGACCCAUGCUUCGGUAUGGGAGCGUACACAGGUGCUGCAUGGCUGUCGUCAGCUCGUGUCGUGAGAUGUUGGGUUAAGUCCCGCACGAGCGCAACCCUGCAUCCAGUUGCCAUCGGGCGAGCCGGGCACUCUGGAGGGACUGCCGGCGACAAGCCGGAGGAAGGUGGGGGAUGACGUCAAGUCAUCAUGGCCCUUAUGUCCAGGGCGACACACGUGCUACAAUGGCCGGCACAGCGGGAAGCGGAGGGGCGACCCUGAGCGGAUCCCUUGAAAGCCGGUCCCAGUUCGGAUUGCAGUCUGCAACUCGACUGCAUGAAGUUGGAAUCGCUAGUAAUCGCGGAUCAGCCAAGCCGCGGUGAAUACGUUCCCGGGCCUU
rnacentral:rRNA from 1 species